UCCGUCUAAGCAGUGAGGCUGAUGUGUAGGCAAAUCCGCACAUCGUAAGGCUGGGCUGUGAUGGGGAGCGAAAAUUAUAGUAGCGAAGGUCAUGAUCUCACACUGCCAAGAAAAGCCUCUAGCCAGGUGAAGGUGCCCGUACCGCAAACCGACACAGGUAGGCGAGAAGAGUAUUCUAAGGCGCGCGGAAGAACUCUCGUUAAGGAACUCGGCAAAAUGACCCCGUAACUUCGGGAGAAGGGGUGCCCCGGUAGUGUGAAUAGCACGAGGGGGCCGCAGUGAAAAGGCCCAAGCGACUGUUUAGCAAAAACACAGGUCUGUGCGAAGCCGUAAGGCGAAGUAUACGGGCUGACGCCUGCCCGGUGCUGGAAGGUUAAGGGGAGCGGUUAGGAGCAAUCCGAAGCUGUGAACCGAAGCCCCAGUAAACGGCGGCCGUAACUAUAACGGUCCUAAGGUAGCGAAAUUCCUUGUCAGGUAAAUUCUGACCCGCACGAAUGGCGUAACGACUUGGGCGCUGUCUCAACGAGAGAUCCGGUGAAAUUUUAAUACCUGUGAAGAUGCAGGUUACCCGCGACAAGACGGAAAGACCCCAUGGAGCUUUACUGCAGCUUGAUAUUGAAUUUGGGUACGAUCUGUACAGGAUAGGUGGGAGCCUUUGAAGCAGGAGCGCAAGCUU
rnacentral:rRNA from 1 species